rnacentral:snoRNA from 1 species
CCCUUUUAAAAGCACUCGGUGGGCCUUUUGCUAAUGACCCAUUGAGCCGACAAGAAAAGACAGAGUGGAAACAGCACAUUUGGGUGGAGAGGCAGCACGUGCGGUUUACUUCCGUCGGUGGUGUAAUGACA